CAAAGGUUUGGUCCUGACCUUACUGUCAAUUCUAGCUAAAACUAUACAUGCAAGUAUCCGCAUCCCUGUGAGAAUGCCCCAACAGUCUCCUUACUGGAGACAAGGAGCUGGUAUCAGGCACCUCCUACCCCUGCCCACGACACCUUGCUCAGCCACACCCCCAAGGGAACUCAGCAGUAACAAACAUUAAGCAAUAAGCGAAAGCUUGACUUAAUUAUGGCUAUAAAGGGCCGGUAAAACUCGUGCCAGCCACCGCGGUUAUACGAGAGACCCAAAUUGACAGUACCCGGCAUAAAGUGUGGUUAAGAGACAGACACAAUAAGGCCGAACUCUUUCAAGGCUGUUAUACGCAACCGAAAGAAAGAAGACCAACAACGAAAGUGACCUUAACUCAAUCUGAACCCACGAAAGCUAGGAAACAAACUGGGAUUAGAUACCCCACUAUGCCUAGCCGUAAACUAAAACAGUCCAUUAACUCAACUGUUCGCCUGGGGACUACGAGCGCUAGCUUAAAACCCAAAGGACUUGGCGGUGCUUCAAACCCACCUAGAGGAGCCUGUUCUGUAACCGAUACCCCCCGUUCAACCUCACCCUUUCUUGUCCUCCCCGCCUAUAUACCGCCGUCGUCAGCUUACCCUGUAAAGGCCCCAUAGUAAGCAAAAUUGGCACAGCCCUAAACGUCAGGUCGAGGUGUAGCGAACGAAAGGGGAAGAAAUGGGCUACAUUCCCUGUCACAGGGAACAACGAAAGUCUCUAUGAAAUUAUAUUCUGAAGGAGGAUUUAGCAGUAAGUAAAAAACAGAGAGUUUUACUGAAGAUGGCCCCGAAGCGCGCACACACCGCCCGUCACUCUCCCCAAAUACCCUAACAACUUAACUAAAACAUAAAACAUAACAAGGGGAGGCAAGUCGUAACAUGGUAAGCGUACCGGAAGGUGCGCUUGGAAAAAC
rnacentral:rRNA from 1 species